rnacentral:rRNA from 1 species
GACGAACGCUGGCGGCGUGCUUAACACAUGCAAGUCGAACGGAAAGGCCCUGCUUUUGUGGGGUGCUCGAGUGGCGAACGGGUGAGUAACACGUGAGUAACCUGCCCUUGACUUUGGGAUAACUUCAGGAAACUGGGGCUAAUACCGGAUAGGAGCUCCUGCUGCAUGGUGGGGGUUGGAAAGUUUCGGCGAUUGGGGAUGGACUCGCGGCUUAUCAGCUUGUUGGUGGGGUAGUGGCUUACCAAGGCUUUGACGGGUAGCCGGCCUGAGAGGGUGACCGGCCACAUUGGGACUGAGAUACGGCCCAGACUCCUACGGGAGGCAGCAGUGGGGAAUAUUGCACAAUGGGCGGAAGCCUGAUGCAGCAACGCCGCGUGCGGGAUGACGGCCUUCGGGUUGUAAACCGCUUUCGCCUGUGACGAAGCGUGAGUGACGGUAAUGGGUAAAGAAGAACCGGCUAACUACGUG